rnacentral:rRNA from 1 species
CCAGCUCCAAUAGCGUAUAUUAAAGUUGUUGCGGUUAAAAAGCUCGUAGUUGGAUUUCUGCCAAGGACGACCGACCCGCCUUCGGGUGUGUGUCUGUGUUGACUGAGGCAUCCUCCUAGUGACUCCAGUGCUUAACCGUACUGGCUGUUCUAGGACUUUUACUUUGAGGAAAUUAGAGUGUUUCAAGCAGGCAUAUGCCUUGAAUAUAUUAGCAUGGAAUAAUAAUUUAGGACUUCGGUUCUAUUUUGUUGGUUUCUGGAACUGAAGUAAUGAUUAAUAGGGACAGUCGGGGGCAUUCGUACUCAACAGUCAGAGGUGAAAUUCUUGGAUUUGUUGGAGACGAACUACUGCGAAAGCAUUUGCCAAGGAUGUUUUCA